AUCUUCGAUUUCCAACAGCCUGUGCAUGCGGCGGUGGAACAUUCUAGCACAUCGACGAGAACCCAGUGGCGGAUGGGGGGGGGGAGUGGCAGCGGCCGGCAAGCUGAAGACAGCCAUGAAUGAAUGAAGGUUAUGACGCAACCAGCUGUCACCCUCUACCUUCCCCUGUGACCCGGAACCAGCUGUCAAAGGGACGCUUUCUUCACCACCAGGUUCCCCCGUCCAGCAUGGAGAUUACAUCUCUAGCAACGGAGCUGAUCCUGGAGCCCUCAGCGGCGGAGGUCCUGAGGGGAAACCGCCACAGCACGCCACAUGGGAAAAGGCUUGUCCAACGCAUCAUUUAACUUUUACCUUUGCCUGUGCUGCACGGUGCAUAACAAGGAGGACUGAAAGACCAGCAAAGGCACGCCUUCCACCAGCAGCCGGAGCAUCAGUCCCGCCGUUCACCACCAGUGCAACGUGAGCAGAAGCACCAUCUGUCCGGUGACCAACCUGCUGAGCUCCGGCGUGGCAUUGUCGUCGUUUGGCAGCCCCAGCAUCCCGGAGGUCCACGGCACGUUCGGGAGCCUCCACGGGGACCCGGUGGGGGCCGGCAACCUCACCCAGCGGAGCCAGUCAGUGCCGCUGAUGGCUCCCACCCACCCUUCUUUCUGGGAGGCCUCUGGAGCUGCCGCCCACCUGAACUCUCUGCCACGAAGAAGGCCACAAAGACACCGGGAAGGGGCUGCAAUUCAUUUUUAAUAAAGACGCCUUGCUGUGGCAGCAGAAAGAGAAUUUCCUCUUUUUACAGGUCUGUAAAUAAAACACAACAUGCUGGUCGAAAAAUA